UCCUAAAAUAAAAUAUUUUCUAUUAGCUUACCUUAGAGAAAUCAAUCGCAAUAUCCAGGCAUAAACACAGGUAUACAUUUAGUUGUCAAUGCUGUGUAGUGAUUUCUCAAUCCUAUCCUACAUACAGUCUGCGUCACUGAAAAUCGUACACACAAAAAUUUUUACUUCCGACUAAAAAAAUCAUGUUCCAAAACUCAGAAAAAUAUGAAAACUUCAGCAUAGGUUUCAGCGCUAAUUUUAUUCCACUCCUCACACAGAGCUUUCUUCAGAUCAUCCUUGUUGGAAAUUUUGUGAUUUCGAAUUUUUUGCUCAAGGAUAUGCCAAGGAUGUUCGAUGACAAUUAUUUCGGGACUCUGAGGUGGAGUUUCCAUCACUUUGGAACAAUUGUAAAGCGCCCAUGUCUUGGCAUUCAAGGAGGUAUGCUUGGGAUCGUUGUCCGCAUAGAGCUUAGAAGUAGACCGAAUCCCGAAUUUUUCGGCACUUGGUAGUAAAUUCGACUUAAGGAUGUUAAGAUGUUUAUAUUUCCAUAUUGGUUUAAAGUUCCAUCGAUAAAAGCCAAAUUACCGACUCCACCGCCAUGUUUGACAGUUGGACGCAAAUUGGCUACAUCCAUCUCUUUAUUUGGCUUUCUUCACACAGUGUGCUUGUUGUAUUUCGACUCAUCUGAAAAAAGAAAUUCGGCCAUGAUAACCGUUGCUACGAAGUACUCGUCUAACUGUUGAAUCACUGAUAUCCUUUUGUAAAUAUAUUUUUGGCUCGUUCUUUAUUUUUGAGCCGGAUUUGAAA